CAGGUAAACUGGCAACAGCACAGGUUUAAGGAAAUUUCCACUAAACGUGGUCAGUUCUUGAAGCAAGCUGUGUUCAAGGAUUCUGAUGUCUCCUACUAGUGGGCUCUCUGGUGAAAACUUGACAACUAAGAGUAAAGAGCACGAGCUCACUGCAUGAUCAAGGAUCGGGUUCUGUGUGACUGAGAAGAAUGAAGCAGGUUGUGUACAGACAGGGGACACAAUAUUAGCAAUGCCCCCGAAUGAAUCCUGUAUUAUUAAAGCUACCACGUUGCAUGACGAGCCAAAAGACUGGGCAGGAGCCGGAGAUCACGUUAGUCUCACAGUGACUGGCAUGGGUAUCAUUGAAAUCAAGCUGGUGCACACUCAUUUCAUCAGACCUAGUUACUUGUUGUCAAGAAACGGCAUGACAUUGCAUAUCCUGAAGUUAAUGUCUCACCUUAACACCUUGAAGUCUUCAUUUCCAGCUCAGGUUGUCCCUCCCUGGUGUUCUGUUUAUCUUUAUGUCUUGAGCAUUUUGUUAUUUGAUGAGCUAUUUUUAAAUCCAGAGUAUCACUGGCUGUUCCCUAAAGGAAAUAUGAAAAUGAAAGAUAAUGCUGUGUUGGCUGAACAAAAAGCAAAUUAACAUUGAUGCCAGAUUCUCCCCUAUAAAUUUCACUUUUAUAAAGUACCCUGUCUAAAUAUGAACUAAUUAACUCAUUAAUAAACAAACCAUUAUCUGAUUCCAGUGAAGUAAUAUGUUACCAGUUAAUCCAAUAAAGCGCUAUGCGUUUCAAACUAAUACAUCCCUUUUCUGUUUUCAUUGUAGGGUGUGUGUUAGGUGAUCCAAAGGAACCAAUUAAAGCAUGCACCCAAUUCCAUGCCAGGAUCCUCCUGUUCAGUUUUGAAGUUCCAAUAACAGAAGAAUUUCCUGUGCUUGACUAAAGGUCAGAAUGCACUGGUGGAACUACAGACCCAGAGACCGGUUUCUCUCGAACUCUACAAAGACUUCAAAGACCUAGGAUGCUUUAUUGUACGUGUGCCGGCUCCACUAUAGCUGCAGGCAUUGUCACAGAGGUAGUGUCUUUCAGGUUUCAUGGUUGCCAUUUCUGUAUACUUAAAUUGUGAUCCUUCUGGUGAACAAAGGUGAAUUUUAUCAGAUAUAAUAAAUAGCAAACAUAAGUCAGCAUUGGAAUGCCCUUUAAGCACUUGCACAGGCAAAUUCUUCAGAGACAAACAAAAUUAGUCUCACGGUAUAAAACCGGUAUAGAAAAUGUACAGUGCUAGAAUAAUUUCCGUACAUGGAAAAUAAACCCUUUGGAUAGUUGUGUGGAAACUAAAACCUGCCUUUAAGGUAAAAAAAAAAAAUUAAAAAAAAAAGGUUAAUGCCGGUAAUUGCAUUGCAGAUAAAUGUUUGAGUGAAGGUACAAAUCAUUUGAAAUGGAACUCGCUUAAAAAUGUUGCUGUGAUUUCUCCAAAGCUUGUUCAUUGUUAUAUUGUAUUUUUAUAAUGUGAGCAAGUUUUAUUUGGCAAAAAUAUUUGUCUUCUUUUGCCUAGCUUUGAAUGACAUUGCACUACAGCCUUUUUUUUUUUUUUUUGAGUCCCUAAACAAAUGACGUCUGCAGUGUAGAACUGUCAAAAGAGAAGUGAACAGAUCAAAGAAUGAUGUGACUUUUGUCAGCCCAGCUCUGUGAGAGGGAACCUCUCGUCUUUAAUCAUCUAAGAGCUCCAGUCAGCAAAACAAAAGUGCACUUGUUCAGUUUUUUUUCAAAAUGGACUUCAACUGAAUGUGAUUUCAUCCUUUAUGAAAUUAUCUAACAUCGAUCCUCUGUGGAUUUGCAACUGACUGCAUAUUAAAACCAGUGUGACCUCAAUGCUGAAGUGUUCAACGCUCUCUCUGGCCAAACUGUGCACUUGAAAAGCAAAACAAUUGUUUGCAAGGAUCCCUUAAACACAGAAACAGGACUGCAAUGGUUAAAUUGUGUAACAUUGAAUUAACCCAGCACUGUGAAAGUAAAGCGACUGACUGAACACUGAGAGACAGUGUCCCAGAUCUAAGUAGAAAUUUACUACCUGAAUCCAAGGUUGCAUAAUGUGUAUUUAACUGGUAAUCUGACUGUACUUCCAAGGUCAUUUCUAAAGUAAGAAACUGUUUGAGGAAAGUGUAUGCGUGUAUACAGGAGCCAAAAAUGGAAAUGGCAAGUACACAAUGUCCAUAUACUUUGGGAGAAGAUGUGAAAAACUGUAAUGCUAUAAAUGCAGAAAAAU